rnacentral:ncRNA from 1 species
GUUCGUUAAUGGCAAACUCAGUGAAAACUGAGGACGCAAAGUUAUCGGUCUAAGGGAGUUCUCCUAUGAUUGCGAUACUGCCGCC